rnacentral:rRNA from 1 species
AUUGAACGCUGGCGGCAGGCCUAAUACAUGCAAGUCGAGCGGAGCGGCGGACGGGUGAGUACUGCCUAGGAAUCUGCCUGGUAGUGGGGGAUAACGUCCGGAAACGGGCGCUAAUACCGCAUACUAUCAGAUGAGCCUCGGUCGGAUUAGCUAGUUGGUGGGGUAAAGGCCUACCAAGGCGACAAUCCGUAACUGGUCUGAGAGGAUGAUCAGUCACACUGGAACUGGGACACGGUCCAGACUCCUACGGGAGGCAGCAGUGGGGAAUAUUGGACAAUGGACGAAAGCCUGACCCAGCAAUGCCGCGUGUGUGAAGAAGGUCUUCGGAUUGUAAAGCACUUUAAGUUGGGAGGCGUUACCAACAGAAUAAGCACCGGCUAACUUCGUGCCAGCCGCCGCGGUAAUUC